rnacentral:rRNA from 1 species
CCAGACUCCUACGGGAGGCAGCAGUGGGGAAUAUUGGGCAAUGGGCGCAAGCCUGACCCAGCAACGCCGCGUGAAGGAAGAAGGCCCUCGGGUUGUAAACUUCUUUUAUCAAGGACGAAACAAAUGACGGUACUUGAUGAAUAAGCCACGGCUAACUACGUGCCAGCAGCCGCGGUAAUACGUAGGUGGCAAGCGUUAUCCGGAUUUACUGGGUGUAAAGGGCGUGUAGGCGGGACUGCAAGUCAGAUGUGAAAACCAUGGGCUCAACCCAUGGCCUGCAUUUGAAACUGUAGUUCUUGAGUGUUGGAGAGGCAGGCGGAAUUCCGUGUGUAGCGGUGAAAUGCGUAGAUAUACGGAGGAACACCAGUGGCGAAGGCGGCCUGCUGGACAAUAACUGACGCUGAGGCGCGAAAGCGUGGGGAGCAAACAGGAUUAGAUACCCCAGUA